UCUGGCGGCAGUCGCGCGGUGGUCCCACCUGACCCCAUGCCGAACUCAGAAGUGAAACGCCGUAGCGCCGAUGGUAGUGUGGGGUCUCCCCAUGCGAGAGUAGGGAACUGCCAGAC
rnacentral:rRNA from 1 species